AAUUGGAGAAGCAAUGCCAGUUGGUUUUCAGUGAAAAUGAAGUCUUAAUGAAACGUCAGGAGUUGCAAAAUCAAAAGUUAGAAGAGCUCACAGCAUUCUACUGUCAAUGAUAGCCGAAGAAAGUUGAGUGAAUUACGGGAAAAGACGCAAGAAGAAAUCAACUCCCUCGCUUCUCAGCUGCAGGGUCUGCGAAAUGAGAAUAACAAUCUGUCGAUGCAAUUAGCAGAUUGUAAGUUGGUUAAUGCGCAAUUAGAAACAGAGAUUCACAGUUUCACAGAAUUUCAAAGAAAAAAUGAGCGUAAGACUGUACUUCUUAAAGAACAAUUUUCCCAUCUUCAUCAAAGGGAGGCUGCCGGGCAAAACACCCUAAGUGAAGUACUAAAAGUGGCUGAAAAGACAACUUUAGAAAGGGAUGCUGCUAAUGAAAUGGCAACAAUUGGAGAAGCAAUGCCAGUUGGUUUUCAGUGAAAAUGAAGUCUUAAUGAAACGUCAGGAGUUGCAAAAUCAAAAGUUAGAAGAGCUCACAGCAUUCUACUGUCAAUGAUAGCCGAAGAAAGUUGAGUGAAUUACGGGAAAAGACGCAAGAAGAAAUCAACUCCCUCGCUUCUCAGCUGCAGGGUCUGCGAAAUGAGAAUAACAAUCUGUCGAUGCAAUUAGCAGAUUGUAAGUUGGUUAAUGCGCAAUUAGAAACAGAGAUUCACAGUUUCACAGAAUUUCAAAGAAAAAAUGAGCGUAAGACUGUACUUCUUAAAGAACAAUUUUCCCAUCUUCAUCAAAGGGAGGCUGCCGGGCAAAACACCCUAAGUGAAGUACUAAAAGUGGCUGAAAAGACAACUUUAGAAAGGGAUGCUGCUAAUGAAAUGGCAACAAUUGGAGAAGCAAUGCCAGUUGGUUUUCAGUGAAAAUGAAGUCUUAAUGAAACGUCAGGAGUUGCAAAAUCAAAAGUUAGAAGAGCUCACAGCAUUCUACUGUCAAUGAUAGCCGAAGAAAGUUGAGUGAAUUACGGGAAAAGACGCAAGAAGAAAUCAACUCCCUCGCUUCUCAGCUGCAGGGUCUGCGAAAUGAGAAUAACAAUCUGUCGAUGCAAUUAGCAGAUUGUAAGUUGGUUAAUGCGCAAUUAGAAACAGAGAUUCACAGUUUCACAGAAUUUCAAAGAAAAAAUGAGCGUAAGACUGUACUUCUUAAAGAACAAUUUUCCCAUCUUCAUCAAAGGGAGGCUGCCGGGCAAAACACCCUAAGUGAAGUACUAAAAGUGGCUGAAAAGACAACUUUAGAAAGGGAUGCUGCUAAUGAAAUGGCAACAAUUGGAGAAGCAAUGCCAGUUGGUUUUCAGUGAAAAUGAAGUCUUAAUGAAACGUCAGGAGUUGCAAAAUCAAAAGUUAGAAGAGCUCACAGCAUUCUACUGUCAAUGAUAGCCGAAGAAAGUUGAGUGAAUUACGGGAAAAGACGCAAGAAGAAAUCAACUCCCUCGCUUCUCAGCUGCAGGGUCUGCGAAAUGAGAAUAACAAUCUGUCGAUGCAAUUAGCAGAUUGUAAGUUGGUUAAUGCGCAAUUAGAAACAGAGAUUCACAGUUUCACAGAAUUUCAAAGAAAAAAUGAGCGUAAGACUGUACUUCUUAAAGAACAAUUUUCCCAUCUUCAUCAAAGGGAGGCUGCCGGGCAAA
rnacentral:lncRNA from 1 species